GAUGAACGCUGGCGGCGUGCUUAACACACGCAAGUCGAACGGUGAAGCCAAGCUUGCUUGGUGGAUCAGUGGCGGACGGGUGAGUAACACGUGAGCAACCUGCCCUGGACUCUGGGAUAAGCGCUGGAAACGGCGUCUAAUACUGGAUAUGAGACGUGAUCGCAUGGUCAACGUUUGGAAAGAUUUUUCGGUCUGGGAUGGGCUCGCGGCCUAUCAGCUUGUUGGUGAGGUAAUGGCUCACCAAGGCGUCGACGGGUAGCCGGCCUGAGAGGGUGACCGGCCACACUGGGACGGAGACACGGCCCAGACUCCUACGGGAGGGAGCAGUGGGGAAUAUUGCACAAUGGGCGGAAGCCUGAUGAAGCAACGCCGCGUGAGGGAUGACGGCCUUCGGGUUGUAAACCUCUUUUAGCAGGGAAGAAGCGAAAGUGACGGUACCUGCAGAAAAAGCGCCAGCUAACUACGUGCCAGCAGCCGCCGUAA
rnacentral:rRNA from 1 species